GGGGCUGUGACGCAGUGGUAGCGUGUUCCAUUCGCAUAAAUUCUAAGUUCUAACGAAUAAAGUUAAUGUUGGAAAAGUCGUGUGUUCGAAUCAUACCUGCUCCA